ACAAAAGUUAAACUUUAAUUUCUCUCUCCUCUACAACCUUCGACAAUGUUCACUCUUCACAAAAAAAAAAGGAGUCUUAGUGAAAACCUAAAGAAGGCGACGGCGAAGAAGAUCUUUGGAGCAGAUCUGCUAUCAAAAGAAGCAAAUGAUCGAGAGCGGAUUUCACUGUGGUGUGGCUGAACAGGGAAACGAUGAAGCUACAAAGCUGCAGGUAACGAAUUCAAAGAGGUUAGUAAAGGUAGAGGCACUCCUCUGUUUGCAGCUCCUGAUUUAUGUGCCUUUGGAACCUUUUUUUCCCUGGGUGCAGCAGUUCCUGAAUGAGAUCUUGUAAAUUACCAAGCAGAAGUUUUGGUUAAAAUAGCUAGGAAGUUUUCAAAUGUUGCUCCAACUAAACCUUUUAGACUUGGAUUGGAUGAGAUUUUGAACACUCUUGACAGGGCCUACAUUAUCACUGAGUAGGUAUAUGA